rnacentral:rRNA from 2 species
AAUUGACCUCGGAUCAGGUAGGGAUACCCGCUGAACUUAAGCAUAUCAAUAAGCGGAGGAAAAGAAACCAACAGGGAUUGCCUCAGUAACGGCGAGUGAAGCG